CGACAACUUCCUCAUUCAUAACACGACAAGGGUGGAGCUGCUUGGGAUGUGUUGUUCGGCCCUUCGAUUCCUACAGGGCUAUGGCUUCAGGUAGACAGAUGGGGCUCAUCACAACUCACGGCAGCCAUUUCUUCAAGCCAAGGAAGCAUCUAGGAUACUGGCAGACAGAAAUCAAGGAGCACACCAUUCACCAUAGUGCAACCUCCGGGCUGGGUAUAGAGGCAAGAGGAGGAGAGUGUGUCAGACUAACCCCAACAGGCAGUGGUGACCAGCUGUGGGUGAAACUGUAGAGCAACUGUAUGAAGAGGCCAGGAAACCAACAAGAUUGAGAAUGUCAGAGAUGGCCCCGUGGAAUGGUUAGUGUGUUUGCUGAGCUACACAUGCACCUGUAUACACGCGCACGUGCACACACACACACACACACACACACACACACACGCAUCUAAGUCCACACUUACACACAAGCACAUGAAGAAAGUUCAUUUGUUGAUUGGCCAUGGCAGGUACCAAGUAAAUGUUUACUACCAAGUACAUGUUUUGUUUGGCAGGUCUAAUUUUUU